GUCCAAUCAAUGCCCACAUCAUUUCUGGCGUCUAAGCCAAUCUGCUAUCACAUGGAGUAAGACUAUCAGCGUUAUAGGACUGCAGGUUUUAAAAUGAGCAGAGACGUUAUCGACUAAGCUAAAAUCUUUAUCCGGAUAACUCCUCGGUUUGUCCUGCACAGAAGACCCAUACCAGCAGCUAUGGCGGAUGAUACCACGUGGAUGACAAUAUCGUCUGUUGACACAAACCCCAUCAACAGAUGCUAUGCUGUAGAUGUUGUGGCAGCUCCUCUCCCCCCCCCUCCCAGGCAGAACUUUGAGCUCCAUCACCCAAUGAGCUGAGCUCCUUCAUUCCUCAAGUCUGAAGUUUGGACCAUUUACAUUUACUUGGGAUGACCAAAAUCUGUCCUGCCAGCAAACGCAGGUGAAGGAACUCCUGAAAACUGGCAGCUGAAAACCCUGCCAGCCCCACAGCAGCAGUCGCUGGUACACUUCACUUGCUGUGCAUGUCGCCUGUCACUGAUCCCUGAGCUGCUGCAGAAUGACCUAAAUUGACCCAGUGGUGGAAAACACAUUUCCAGUAUUAAAGGCUGUGAUAAGGUUCCCCUGCCUCCCUUCAGGACACCUGUGUAAUUUCAGAUAAAAUUGCCAUUACACCUCAAAUAUUGAUGUACAUGUGGCUCUACAGGUUUGGCGUAUCUAUGAAGGAGUAUCAUUGGUGUACACAAAGGUUUCUUUUGCUCAAAUAGUAAUUCAAAAUAAGUGGGAAGCACAAGUAUGUAUUGUAGAUAUUUGGCACCAAUACAGAUCAUAUUAUACUGGUUAAUGGCCAGAUGUGAAUGAACUGUAGAGAACUAGUAAAAAAUUUAACCUUU